GAGGAGCUCACAAGGGGUCAAAAAGGCACCAAGAAGGGAGGAAACCCAAAGCCCAGGCGACAACAAUGAAAAACAGCGAAGCUGAAUUCACCGCUGGUCGCCCGGGCGACGGACGCCCGAAGCUCAGACAUCAAAAACUGGCGCCCAAGCCUCACAGAACCCUUGAUUCACGCUUGGGCGAGCUCCCUGCGACACUUGAGCGUGAUUUCACGUGGAUCGGGCCCUGAUUCUGCUCUGAUUUGAAUCUUUUGGACUGGGCUGCACUCUGGGACGCGUCUGACGCUAUUUAAAGGACCCUAGGGCUCUAGGUUUUGCAUCCCUGGCAGAAGAGAGCAUAGCAAUACACUCCUAGCCAAUUCUUAGUCUUUUCAUUCUUUCUUUCUUCCAUUAUUCAUAGAGUUCCCCCAUGUUUAUGGGGAACUAAUUUCUAUUUGUUGUUGGGGAAUGAUGUAACCUUGUAAACUCUCAUGUAUUUGAAUUGAUUCUUAAUUUCAUAUGCUUUUUCCAUUAAUUGUUAGAGUAAUUUAUCUGUUCUUAUUCUUGCUUAUACAAUAGCAUUAUCUAUGAGUUGCAUGAGUGGCAACAGGUUCCUUUCUAUUCAGGUCCUUUUUAAAUUACUCCUAAGGGUUAUAUUGCUCAGACAUGAGGGUAUGGGUCUUAGUCGUCUUAACCACCUGAUCUUCACAUCUUUUUACCAGGAAUGCUAGGAAUCGUAUGAACUCGUAAUUAGGGACAAACUUAUUUACCGAGACAUCGAGUUUAAGUGUUUUAGUGAGGGACGUUGGCAUUAAUGAAUAAAGAAGAAUUCUUAUAUACAUAAGAGGGGACUUGGUGAAGUCUAACCCCAACAACAGACUCAUCUCAUAUAAAUCAACCUCCAUUCAUAUCUGUGCUCUUUUACCACUGAUCACUUUUACUUUGCUGUAUUUUAUUCUUUUUGCUAUACAAUCCAUGAUUUCUUUUCUUUUAAGUCUUAAUUAAUCCCGUUUUCACACAACUGUUCAGCGCCGAGAGUCCUCUGGGAUACGAUACUUGGUCUUACCAUUUUAUAUUACUUGUGCGACUCGAUACACUUGCCGAUUUGCCCCAACAGUAACAGAUGUAAAAAUAUUAAUUUAAGUUUUUUAAAUAAGUAACAUAUGUAAAAUUAAUAAUUUAAGUCUGUUAAAAAAGUAACAGAU
rnacentral:lncRNA from 1 species